AUUGAACGCUGGCGGCAGGCCUAACACAUGCCAGUCGAGCGGAUGAAGGGAGCUUGCUCCUGGAUUCAGCGGCGGACGGGUGAGUAAUGCCUAGGAAUCUGCCUGGUAGUGGGGGAUAACGUCCGGAAACGGGCGCUAAUACCGCAUACGUCCUGAGGGAGAAAGUGGGGGAUCUUCGGACCUCACGCUAUCAGAUGAGCCUAGGUCGGAUUAGCUAGUUGGUGGGUAAAGGCCUACCAAGGCGACGAUCCGUAACUGGUCUGAGAGGAUGAUCAGUCACACUAGAACUGAGACACGGUCCAGACUCCUACGGGAGGCAGCAGUGGGGAAUAUUGGACAAUGGGCGAAAGCCUGAUCCAGCCAUGCCGCGUGUGUGAAGAAGGUCUUCGGAUUGUAAAGCACUUUAAGUUGGGAGGAAGGGCAGUAAGUUAAUACCUUGCUGUUUUGACGUUACCAACAGAAUAAGCACCGGCUAACUUCGUG
rnacentral:rRNA from 1 species